rnacentral:rRNA from 1 species
GACGAACCGUGCGAACGUUGUUCGGAUUCACUGGGCUUAAAGGGCGCGUAGGCGGCCUUCUAAGUCGGACGUGAAAUCCCUCGGCUCAACCGAGGAACUGCGUCCGAUACUGGUUGGCUUGAAUUCGGGAGAGGGAUGCGGAAUUCCAGGUGUAGCGGUGAAAUGCGUAGAUAUCUGGAGGAACACCGGUGGCGAAGGCGGCAUCCUGAACCGAUAUUGACGCUGAUGCGCGAAAGCCAGGGGAGCAAACGGG